rnacentral:tRNA from 1 species
GAGUUAAAUGUUUAGUGGCUAAACAAUAGAUUGUAAAUCUAUCGAAUUUUUCAUUGUUGGUUCGAUUCCAACUUAACUCA